CCGAGAUGUGGCAGAUGAGCUUCCUCCAGGCCUGAGUUCAGUGUCGGCGAAUCAACAACGUAGACUAAACGAGAUGCCCUUAAACGGAAACACACCUAAGUUCAUCCUGCCUCCAAAACAUGUCCCCGAGCAGUCUGCCUGCCUCCGUCUCUACCGCCUGCCGCGUUAGAGGAGCCCCCCGGCCCUGCUGCCCACAGUGCCGCCCCGGCUUCCUGUGAUAGAUGCCACUGUGUGCACCUGUCAUGCUCUCCCUUUCCUGGGCAUGUGAGCUGUGCCGGCACUUGAUUGGCUGUCCCUUUUCAGACCCAGAGGAAGCAGGCCGAGAAAUGCUUCGGGCAGCGGGCAGCGUUGGUAAGGGUUUCCCCGGGUCAGGGCUGCUUCUGCAAACCGAGACCGGCCUCUAAACCUGGUAGGAAUAUUUUUGAGGCUGGAAGGGAUUUUUUUUUUUUUUUUUUUUAAGGGAAUAAACGUCUAAACAGUAGUUUCAGUAAGAGCUUGAAGAAAAUCUUGAAGGAACGCCCUUUCAAAAGUAGAGUUUUCUUGCUCGGAUCUUACUGAAACCACUGCCUCCUGGAACAAGGGGAUGAGAUGUUACCACAGUGGUUUCUGCUCGGUUUGUUUAAAAACCAGUAACAGAUGCCAAGAAAAAAGCUUAGUCUGGCCGACUUCUGUGGUGCCACCCGUGCCCUCGUUGCCCGGCCUCACGACAAAAAGCGGGCACGGCCCGCCUUCCUCCCCAGCUCCUCUGUGGUGUGAUGGCUUCGUCCCCACUGGCUCGGGUUGUUCUCUGUCAGCUGAGCAAAAGGAUGGGUGGAGUGCACAGAUUUUGUAACAUUUGUCUUGUGGUUUUACAGAGAAAGGGGUGAUGUAUAAUUAGAAAGGCCGAAAGGGAGCAGAGGAGACAGGAAGGAGGUACGCAGUGCUUGUGCAGCCGAGUGGAUGUCCGGGGCAGAAACGCACGGUCCCCGCCCCCGCCUGGGCUGAGGCUUUGAGUCUUCAGAGAAUCGCUUGAAUUGCACGCCACGAUGUUCAUCGUUUUCGUGCCCGGUGAGGGCUGGGCGUCUUCUCGAAGCACAGAACACCCAGUGAAUGAAUUUGAUCUUCCCUGCGUCUCACACUAAUGUUGUCUUCCUCCAAGUGGUAAAAGUACCAGAAAGAUCCCUUCUGGAAAUAUCAGUUGAGUUUAUCAUAAGUGAUUGGUGCUUGUAGUGCAUUACUCUAGUCGAGUUGAAGGAUGAACUUUCCAGGUAGCUUUGUCUCCAUGCCCUCCUACAAAGCUGUUACACUUGUUUGAUCUUUAAAUGUUUUCCUUUUGACCCAGGACGGUGUGAACCGUCCAUUCAUUCCCCAGUGGGAUGAUGGGUGUUUAUACUGAGCUGAUGGAAUACCUCACGCGAUUAUUAAAAGCGUGUGAAGCUG